rnacentral:rRNA from 1 species
GACGAACGCUGGCGGCGUGCUUAACACAUGCAAGUCGAACGAGAAUCUGUGGAAAGAGGAUUCGUCCAAUUGAAGCAGAGGACAGUGGCGGACGGGUGAGUAACGCGUGAGGAACCUGCCUUUCAGAGGGGGACAACAGUUGGAAACGACUGCUAAUACCGCAUAACAUAUAGAUGUCGCAUGGCAUUUAUAUCAAAGAUUUAUCGCUGAAAGAUGGCCUCGCGUCUGAUUAGCUAGUUGGUGAGGUAACGGCCCACCAAGGCGACGAUCAGUAGCCGGACUGAGAGGUUGAACGGCCACAUUGGGACUGAGAUACGGCCCAGACUCCUACGGGAGGCAGCAGUGGGGAAUAUUGGUCAAUGGACGAGAGUCUGAACCAGCCAAGUAGCGUGCAGGAAGACGGCCCGUAUGGGUUGUAAACUGCUUUGUCAGGACGAAAGGACCGUGUUAAUACCAUGGUCUGCUGACGGUACCUGAAGAAUAAG